GUUACUCAGGUCUUAUGUUUUUAUAAGUGAGACAGAGUUUAUGAAGUUUAUGUUCAUAAAGGAAGGAUCCAAUGGGAAACUGUUGGCAAUAAUGUUUUGUAAAAAGAAUAAUUGCGCCAAUGACAACAGAAUCUUUCACAUUCAAUAUCUAUACACUAAUAUAUAGUGUCCUUUUACUGUCAAAUAUAAAAUCCAAACAUUCAAAGCAUUCAUUGUUUAAACAUGGUCGAAAUAUUGAGUCCAGAGCUCUGCUGAUCAUAAACAGAAGCCUGAGUAAGCAAUUAGGUUAGGACAUAUAUGCUUUAGGAAUCAAUAAUCAAUAAUAAUAAAAAAAAAAUAAUAAUCAAAAUACAUUAUCAAACAUCCACAAAACCAAAUUGUACUGGCUUCAAAAAAAAAGAAAAGAGAGACUGAUUUCACAUUGUGUAGCAGACAACAAAAGACUUCUGGUAUUACAGUCACACCGCUUUACACUGAUGAACAAAAUAAAUGUUGUGCCAGGGCCACAAGGUCUUAAGGGCUGAUUAUGGUUCCACAGUCAGUCAAACCCGUCACAUCCGAGUCCCAUUCAUCUGAGGUGAAGCAGACCAAACACAGAAAUGUGCAAGAUUUAAGGAAAAACAAUUGGUUUUGCAGAGAAGAAAUCAACGACCGGUAUAAACAUAGCCUCAAAAUUGAACGCGGCGCUCCAGACAAACCCAACAUGUUCGAAGCAAGGCUUCUGGGAUCUGGGCACAUAUGGCUGCUCCCAAUAUUGUUGACAUGGCUUUUAAACUGAGCAAAUAAUGAAUUUUCAAAACAAUGAUUUUCAAAAGGACACUCGUGAACUCCGUAUAAAAAUUCUGUGUAACAGUGUUGAACCGCAAGAAAUCCAAACACACGGCAAUGUCUCUGCCACUCAAGAACUGUGACCUGUCAAUCACAGUUCAAUACUGAUCGAUGCGCGUCGGCUGACAGCGAGAUAAGUCCACUUGUCAGCCAAUCAAAUAACCUGGCCCUCAUCUGCCUUGUGGUCACGUGACUCCUCUUCCUCCUUCAUGUCUGCGACGGGCACUCCUUCUUCUCCGACCGGCCCGCGCUGGCUCCUGCUCGCUCCCUCCUCCUCCUCUCCCAUCGCUGUACACUCGUCUGGCUCUCUCUCAGACUGACCUCCUCCUCCCCCCCCUCCUCCUCCUCCUCUCC
ensembl:lncRNA